rnacentral:rRNA from 1 species
ACGCUCGACACCUACGGGGAGGCAGCAGGUGGGGAAUAUUGCACAAUGGGGGAAACCCUGAUGCAGCGACGCCGCGUGGAGGAAGAAGGUCUUCGGAUUGUAAACUCCUGUUGUUAGGGGAAAAAAGAGGAUGGUACCCAACAAGGAAGUGACGGCUAACUACGUGCCAUCAGCCGCGGUAAUCUGAGCGGGCUGGCAAGGC